GCCCUUGAAAUAAUCAAAGGUGUAACCUGCCCAUUGGCUUGACAUUAAAUAAGAAUAAAUUCUUAAAAGAAAGCUUAAAGGACGCAGUAUCUUGACUGUGGUAAUGUAGCAUAAUCACUCGCCACUUAAUUGGUGGAUAGUAUGAAUGGUUGAACGAAUAUUACACUGUCUCCUCUAGAAAAUUCUUUAAAUUGAAAUAAUAGUAAAGAUGCUAUUUAAAACUGUAAGACGAAAAGACCCUAUAGAGCUUAACUAUAUUCUGUAAUUUAAAAAGUAAAAAAAACUAUUUACAGCAUUUACAGAAUGGUAGUUUAGUUGGGGCGACUUUCUUCUAUAAUCAACGAAGAUAAGCAAUGUUAAUAGAAAACUUAUUGUAUAAUUAAUAAAUUUAACAGUUAUAAAAGUAGGCUAUAAUGACCCAUUAGAAUUUGAAGACAAAUCUAAUGAUUAAUAAAUAAAAGCUACCUUAGGGAUAACAGGAUAAUUUUGUUCUAGAGAUCAUAUCGAAGACAAAGUUUGUCACCUCUAUGUUGAAUUAAGAUAACCUAAUAAUGCAGAAGUUAUUGAAGGUAGGUCUGUUCGACCUAUAAAAUCUU
rnacentral:rRNA from 1 species